rnacentral:rRNA from 1 species
AGUGAACGCUGGCGGUAGGCCUAACACAUGCAAGUCGAACAGCAGCACAGUAAGAGCUUGCUCUUACGGGUGGCGAGUGGCGGACGGGCGAGGAAUACAUCGGAAUCUACUUUUUCGUGGGGGAUAACGUAGGGAAACUUACGCUAAUACCGCAUACGACCUACGGGUGAAAGCAGGGGAUCUUCGGACCUUGCGCGAUUGAAUGAGCCGAUGUCGGAUUAGCUAGUUGGCGGGGUAAAGGCCCACCAAGGCGACGAUCCGUAGCUGGUCUGAGAGGAUGAUCAGCCACACUGGAACUGAGACACGGUGCAGACUCCUACGGGAGGCAGCAGUGGGGAAUAUUGGACAAUGGUCGCAAGCCUGAUCCAGCCAUACCGCGUGGGUGAAGAAGGCCUUCGGGUUGUAAAGCCCUUUUGUUGGGAAAGAAAAGCAGCAGGUUAAUACCCCGCUGUUCUGACGGUACCCAAAGAAUAAGCACCGGCUAACUUCGUG